rnacentral:rRNA from 1 species
CUCCUGGAAACGGGUGGUAAUGCCGGAUGCUCCAGUUGACCGCAUGGUCCUCUGGGAAAGCUUUUGCGGUAUGGGAUGGGGUCGCGUCCUAUCAGCUUGAUGGCGGGGUAACGGCCCACCAUGGCUUCGACGGGUAGCCGGCCUGAGAGGGCGACCGGCCACAUUGGGACUGAGAUACGGCCCAGACUCCUACGGGAGGCAGCAGUGGGGAAUAUUGCACAAUGGGCGCAAGCCUGAUGCAGCGACGCCGCGUGCGGGAUGACGGCCUUCGGGUUGUAAACCGCUUUUGACUGGGAGCAAGCCCUUCGGGGUGAGUGUACCUUUCGAAUAAGCACCGGCUAACUACGUGCCAGCAGCCGCGGUAAUACGUAGGGUGCAAGCGUUAUCCGGAAUUAUUGGGCGUAAAGGGCUCGUAGGCGGUUCGUCGCGUCCGGUGUGAAAGUCCAUCGCUUAACGGUGGAUCCGCGCCGGGUACGGGCGGGCUUGAGUGCGGUAGGGGAGACUGGAAUUCCCGGUGUAACGGUGGAAUGUGUAGAUAUCGGAAAAAGAACACCA